rnacentral:rRNA from 1 species
GACGAACGCUGGCGGCGUGCUUAACACAUGCAAGUCGAACGGAAAGGCCCUGCUUUUGUGGGGUGCUCGAGUGGCGAACGGGUGAGUAACACGUGAGUAACCUGUCCUUGACUUUGGGAUAACUUCAGGAAACUGGGGCUAAUACCGGAUAGGAGCUCCUGCUGCAUGGUGGGGGCUGGAUAGUUUCGGCGGUUGGGGAUGGAAUGGCGUCUUAUCAGCUUGUUGGUGGGGUAGUGGCUUACCAAGGCCUGGACGGGUAGCCUGCCUGAGCGGGGGACCGGCCCAAUUGGGCCUGAGAUGCGACACAGCCUCCAAUGGGAGGGAGCGGAGGGGAAGAUUGUACAAUGGGCGGGAGCCUGAUGCGGCAACGCCGCGUGCGGGAUGACAGCCUUGGGGUUGUAAACCGCUUUCGCCUUUGACGAGGCGUGAGUGACGGUAAUGGGUAAAGAAGCACCGGCUAACUACGUG